CGGGGCAUAGCUCAGCCUGGUAGAGCACCUGCUUUGGGAGCAGGGGGUCGCGUGUUCGAAUCACGCUGCCCCGACCA
rnacentral:tRNA from 1 species